AAGUCGUAACAAGGUUUCCGUAGGUGAACCUGCGGAAGGAUCAUUAAAGAGACGUUGCCCUUCGGGGUAUACCUCCCACCCUUUGUUUAUUUAUACCUUUGUUGCUUUGGCAGACCCGGCUUCGGCCCACCGGCUCCGGCUGGUCAGUGUCUGCCAGAGGACCUAAAACUCUGUUUGUUAAUAUUGUCUGAGUACUAUAUAAUAGUUAAAACUUUCAACAACGGAUCUCUUGGUUCUG
rnacentral:misc_RNA from 1 species